rnacentral:rRNA from 1 species
AUACGUAGGUGACAAGCGUUAUCCGGAUUUACUGGGCGUAAAGGGCGUGUAGGCGGUCUUGCAAGUCAGAAGUGAAAUUCCUGAGCUCAACUCGGGCGCUGCUUCUGAAACUGCAGGACUUGAGUGCUGGAGGGGAUAGCGGAAUUCCUAGUGGAGCGGUAAAAUGCGCAGAUAUUAGGAAGAACACCGGUGGCGAAGGCGGCUAUCUGGACAGUACCUGGAGCUGAGGCGCGAAAGCGUGGGGAGCAAACAGGAUGUGAUCCCCUGGUUGUCCACGCCGUAAACGAUGAAUACUAGGUGUAGGGGGUAUCGACUCCCUCUGUGCCGCAGUUAACACAAUAAGUAUUCCGCCUGGGGAGUACGGCCGCAAGGUGGAAACUCAAAUGAAUUGACGGGG